AGCAGACCCGAGACGGCCCUCCUAGGAAACCCCACGAGCAAGGUCAGCCCUUGGUGGGCAUCUGGGAAUGUGGAGUUGAGAAAUGUCACCACCGUUCCUGAUAAGAAAGGCUCCCUGGGCUCAAUUGUUUGCACAGUGUGGCUUGUGCUGACUUGUUAUUCCUCUGAGAGUCUGGAAUGUGGGCACGAGCUUGGCAGGGGGUAUCUCUGAGACCAGUCCACCUAAAACCCUGCAUGGAGAUUCUGCAAUAAACUUCCCUGGUAGCCGACAUGUCACACAUGCUGUCACAAAUAAACAGUGUGCUCUCUUGCGCACAAGCAUGCACACUCACACACAUACACACAAACACCCCCCCCAACACACACAGGCUCCAAACAAGCAAACAAAAACCCAACCCCUUUCGUUUAUGAAGGACUGAGAAAGUUGCACGUCAUAGUAAGUAAAGUAAGUCAGAAAGAGAAAGACAGAUAGCAUAUGCUAUCACCUCUCUGUGGAGUCUAAUAUAUGACACAAAUGAGCUUUUCCACAGAAAAGAAACUCGUGGACUUGGAGAACAGAGUUGUGGUUGCCAAGGGGGAGUGGGAGGGAGUGGGAUGGACUGGGAGUCUGGGGUAAACAAAUGCAAACCAUUGCCUUGGGAAUGGAGAAGCACUGAGAUCCUGCUGUAUAGCACAGGGAACUAUAUCCAGUCACUUGUGAUGGAACAUGGUGGAAGAUGAUGUGAGAAAAAGAAUGUGUAUGUAUGUGUGUAUGUAUAUAUAUAUAAAGCUGGGUCACUAUGCUGUGCAGUAGAAAUUGACAGAACACUAUAAAUCAACUACCAUGGAAACAAUAACAAUCAUAAAAAAGUGAUGGAUAAUCACCAUUCGAUUUUGAAUUAAUCACAAGCUUACACUAUGGUUUAAAUAUGUGAGAAGAAAGAUUAUCCAGCCCACUGGAAGAUGAGAAAAACUUUUAAAACUUCAGAAUGGUCCCAAUCCCUUGAACAGUCAAAAAUACUUAUUCCAUUCAGUAUAGAGAUAUUUUAAAAAUCUGAACGUUGUUUCACACAUAAGGUGUAUCUUCCCAAACUCUGGUCAUAAAGAAAGUAGCAACUUCAGGAGCCAACGUGUUAAAAUUAAGGUACGUUCUUAACUUAGUUUAUGGACUUUCCCAUCAGCUGCUUACCUUGAUGCUAGAAACCCAGAACUCAGGGUGGACUGUUAGAUAAUGGAAAGGCUUCUUGUGAUAAGAAAAAUCACCACCUUAUGAUUUACAAAGUCACUGACAUUGUAAAGUAAUGUUCUCUGGUUUACCCCAUUAACGCUUCCAAACUGAGUGCUCAUUCUUAGACAACAGCCCUGGAUCACCUGUCCCUUUAGUUUAUUUAAGUAAAUUGGAAAAUUAACGUCACGUUGUCUUCUGGCUGAAGGGAAAUGGUGAGCGUCGCCAAACCUGUAAAUGUCAAUUUCUCCCCAGAUCCAAGGGAUAUUCCUAGAUGCCUCUUAAUUAUUUCUGACAUCAGCCUUCAGACUAGCCGUGAUAGACCCUCUUAUUUUAGGGGAAAAAAAAUCUUAACAACACAAUAAAUCCAUUUCUCACCCCACCUUCAUUUUUUCCAGAUGACUCUCAGAUUGAAUUUUUUUCCCUUUAAAAUUCAUUUUAAGCAUUUUCUCAGGUCUGUGGUGGCCCCAUGAAUGCUCUCUAUAGGAAGAGAGAAUAUAUUUUAGAGUGUAUUUUUUAAAAGAUACAUAAUAAAAUACCCUGUGUGUCUUUAGAGUCAGUUUUUGUCUUCAAGCUUCAGACCCCACAAUUCUUUCCCCCCGCCCUCUUCCUCAAGAUUCUUUCAUUUGUCUUUUUUUUUUUUUAAAUUGUAGUUGAUUUACAACAUUGUGUCAAUUUCUGCUGUACAGCAAAGUGACCCAGUCAUACAUAUAUAGACAUUCCUUUUCCAAUAUUAUCUUCCUUCUUGGUCUAGUCCAGGAGACUAGAUAGAGUUCCCUGUGCUGUACAGUAGAGCCUCAUGGCUUAUCCACUCUAACUAUCAAAGUUUGCAUCUACUAACCCCAAACUCCUCGUUCAUCCCACACCCUCACUUUUCCCCUUGGCAAACACAGGUCUGUCCUCUAUGUCUAUGGAGAUCUCAUGAUUCUUGAUAAAACACUGAAAGUCUAAGCCAAGUCAACAUGGGAGUAUGCACGCAACCUUCAAAAACCAUUUGCCUAUGUAGAAAAUAUAAACCAGAAGACAAUGGCAGAAAGCAAAAAAAUCCACUUUGGCCUAACACAUAAGACCAAAAUGUACACAAUAAAUCAGCAAUGUGAAUGAACCCAAGAUGGGCUUUUCUAAGCCCAGGUGAUGAGUAAGUCCCAGGACCUGUCCUUGGGGCUGUAACAGCUUCCAGCUUCCAGCUGGGGCUUCCAGCUUCCACCUUUCUACCCCAGGGGUGUCGGUAUCUUUUACUCCUGGGUGAGAAAAAGAAAUAUGCAUUGUCGCAAAUAACCUACUGAUUCAUUGCCAAUGUUUCAGAGAUAGGAACCAGGAAAAGACUAGAAGAUGCAUGAAUGGAAAAUGGGCCUGUCCUCCGAGGCCCUAGAGAGAGCAGGUUUGGUGCAGAGAGAACAGGAGAAGAGCUGUGGUGUAGGUCACAGAUGUGGCUUGGAUCCCGUGUUGCUGUGGCUGUGGUGUAGGCAGGCAACUGCAGCUCCAAUUCGACCCCUAGCCUGGGAACGUCCAUAUGCUACAGGUGUGGCCCUAAAAAGCAAAACAUAAAGAACAGAAAUAAAAACUAAAGCGAUCACUGAGAUGGAUAAAGUCAUACCUCCACUCACCACUGCUUCCGUGUGAUGCCCUCGCCUCAGGUUGGCUUCUAGAAGGCCUGGCGGUGGAAAGAAACAGACCGGGAAGGGAUACUGUUCAUCCUUCUUGUGUCCUCUUCAAAGACCACCUGCUAGUCCCCAAUACCAUAACUGUAUUGGUAUAUCAUUGUGAUGAAUUCAAGCCCAGAAGUGGGAAUCUCUUCUAAUCAAAUAUUUGAUGACUCCAUCUUGGCAGUUGCUAAACUAGUUCCAUGACUUUCUUCUCCCUUUCUGGUGAGUGGGCCGUGUUGCCUUUCCCAGCAGAUUUUCUUUUUAAAGAAGACAUUAACCACCAGAAUGGUCUCCUGAGCCUUGCAGAAGGUUAGAAUCGCUGAUCCUGGAAUCCUAUUCCCCUCUCAACCUGGCCGGCCCAUGCCACUUGAUUAUGCCUGCUGAGCCUUCUAUCCUGGACCAAAUGGUUUGUUUAGUUGACUAGCAGAGGCUGAUCACAUUAGCUUUCAGGACAUCAAAAGACUGCUCAAAGGGAGUAUUUGUCACCUUUUUAUGGUUUACGAGACAUCAUGCUCCUGGUUUUAACGGACUGUACUACGUGGAAAAAAGACUUUCAUCUCUGUACAUCUUCAGUGCCUGCCUCAGCCCUCAGCAAACAUGAAUGAAGAAAAGGAAUAAACAAUGCCAUCUAUUUGAUCUACCUGAAGGCUUUGGAUAAAAUCAAUCCUGAUAGUAAAGAUGACACUUAUAAGUGUGCUAUAAUGCUUGACAGGACAAUUAUGAAGAGAAGUAAUGCAUUAGCACUUCUUUUUUUAUUUUUUGUGUUUUUAGGGCCGUACCCACAGCUUAUGGAAGUUCACAGCCUAGGGGUGGAAUCGGAGCUAUAGCUACUGGCCUACACCACAGCCACAGCAAAGUGGGAUCCAAGUUGCAUCUGCGACCUACACCACAGCUCAGGGCAACAAUGGAUCUUUAACCCAAUGAGCAAGGCCAGGGAUUGAAUCUGUGUCUUCACAUAUACUAGUCAGGAUUAUCACUGCUGAGCCAUGACAGGAACUCCAGUACUUAUUUUUUAAAAUUGAUUUUUAUUUUAUGGGUGCACCCGUAGCAUAUAGAAGUUCCCAGGCUAGGGACUGAAUCUGAGCCACAGAUGCAACCUAAGCCUCAGCUGCGGCAGUGCCAGAUCUUUUAACCAACUCCACUGCUGGGCCAGAGAUGGACUCCAUACCUCUGCAGCGACCCGAGCUGCUGCAUUUGGGAUUCUUAACUCACUGCACUACUGCAGGAACUCCACCCUAGUACUUCUUCAUUCUUGUGUUAGGCACACUCCCUGGCUCAAAUACCUAAGGGCUUAAAUAUGUGCAUUUUAUGCUAUCAGUAGAAUUACCUCUAUAGUUUAGCCUUAAUAUGAAAAAAAAAUGUAAAAUCUUUCCUUAAUGUCUAUUUUUGUUGGCUUAGAGUAUGUAUGUAUGUAAUGUGGCUGGAAUUAAUUUUACCUUUGUGCAUAGCCAUCUACAGACAAUUGUCAUACAGGCAUCCUCGGUUACCAUAACCCAACCAUUGACAUCUUGUCUAGAUAAAUCGUGAAUGUUUCCCACUCCCGGUCGAUUUUCUCAGAGCUGAGAGACAUUCAAGCAAAGAUACACUUGGGGCUCAACUAGACAGGGGUUGGGGCACAUACGCACGGGGACUGGUGAUGCAGGAAACCCACAGGAGACGGAGGAUCUACCUUUACGAACUUCAGUGUCCAUAAGAGAACAAAAUGCUUCCAACAGCCUCACCAUCCACUGUAUGAGAAAAAUCUCUGGCAGCAUUUCUCUGUGUGUAUAUGGAUUCCAUCAGGAGCUGCGGUCUUAAGGGCAAAACGAGAGCCCCUUUCUCUGCAAAUGCUGCAGAGUUUUAUAACUUCUCUCCCAGCAGACACAUCCCAAGUUCCCAGUUCUCCUGCUUACCAUUCCCACUGUACCUGGGACUACUCAGUAUAAGGGGUCAAUUCGAUAAAGAAAAUGCAUCUAAGAUGAAAAUAUAAGGACAUUACCCGCAAAAGGCAACUUGGGGUAUUUUCAGGAACCCAACUGGGAACAUUCUUAGGUCGAUUAUUGGAAAUCUUUGGAAACGUUCACACUAAAAUGUAAAUAUUCUGAUAUUUCAGUACAACCAAUCAGGUGUAGAACCAAGACACUAGUUUUGAGUCUGAUGCUAAUUAGCAGUGCGAUUUUAGGCAACAUAAUAAAGUUCCUGGAGUUUCUCUGAAAUGCAAGAGUUUGGGAUGACUAAUUUAACCUUAACGUCCGGUGAAGUUAUGAGGUCCUGGACUAUAAUCUUCUUUCUGGUCUUUAUUAGAGAAAUAUAUAUUAUGCUGCAAUAUUCCUUUAUUGGAUUAAAGGGUUUCUCCUUCCUCCACCAUAAACCAUUUUUAAAAUGGUUUUCAUGACUUAUCUCUAUUUCCAUUUUGUAUUUGAAUGACACUCAGCUCAUCCAGAUUUUUAAGAGAGCAAUGCUAAACCCUCAGGAGAUUAGGCUGGGAUGCACCAUUUAUAAAAUAUUUAUGGCAUCUAGUAGAGAGCUCUGAAUAAUAAAUGGCUUCUAUUUAAAUGAUGAUAGACUGUUUAACAUUUUCAACUUUGCUUUUUCAGUAGCUAUAAAGUAUUCUCAAUCUCAUUUGAUUUGUGAUCUUCAGAAUAGCUCUAAUCAAGUAUAUAAUUUAAUAAUCUUAUUCACAGAUAAUUUUUAUCUAUAUUUGGUUUUGCUUUUUGUUUCAUAACAAUAGUAGGAAAGGAUCCCCAACAAAAAUAAUUUUGUAGAUUAAAGUUGGAAGCCUCUGGUUUUAGUUUGGAAAAGCCACAGUUAGUCUGAAAUGCAUUAUUAAGCUGUCUGUAAUGAUACUGAAAAGCUGGAGAGGUUUAAUUCCACAAUAGCUGUUUCAUUUUUAAAUUCGACACAUCUUCAGUUUAUGUAACAUGUCUGAAGACUGCACAGCUGUUUUUAUUUAUAGCCUAACGGCGGGAUUUCACGUGUCAAAGAUGCUAUGACAAAUAAGUGUCCUCGUGCGCACUGCAUUCUGGGAGGAGGUCCACUUACAAGCCAACAAGAUGUCAAGAAGUAUCACUGUAAUCCUUGUAGCCGCAAAGAGACUGAAUUAUGAUUCUUCUCCAGUUCUUACUCUCCAAGAGCUAUUACAAGAGAAGUUCCCAUGAUGCAGGAGAGCCCAUUAAUUUACAUAACAUGCUUACUAUUUUCAGUUAAAGAAAAGGAAGUUAAACUCAUCUUCAGGCCUUAAUACUAGCCACAUUCCUCAGCAGUAACAGGAGGGUGGUACACUACAGUGAUGCCAAGACUCUGAUAAGCUGGCAGGUAGUGAGGAGGUGUGUCUCAGGGGCUUCAAAGAGGAGUUCUGGGUUUAUAGGCAUAUCCAGUCACUGGCUUGCCUGUGUCUGAUAUGGGUGACUUACAGGGCUUCUCUCAAAAUUCUGCCCCAUACAAAGACUCUACAGAGUCUAAGGACUGGCAGUGCCACUUAUUCAUUGCCUGGAUCUCUUACAAAGUAAACACCAAAUUUAUUCUCCUACAUACAAGUACAUGACCUAUCGUUGUUUUCCAAGCAAAGACUGAAAGGUACCAAGUGGAAGACCUUUGCCAUUGCUUCUUCAAAAAACAUUGAUUAGUUCCCAGCUCAUCCUUCUCAGUCAAGCUGGCUAUAGGAACCCCAGGGGUCUUCCUUCUCCUUGCAGUACAGUUGACUUGCUGAUGGCCAAUGGACUCACCCAACUCCAGAUUAUGUCAAGAUCAGCUGGGUUCAUGUGCCCUGGCAUGAUGGUCUUUGCAAGUAAGGCUAUUUGAAGAGGCAAUAAAACAUAGGAUUUUUAUUUCUCUCUCCUUUGCGACUGCUUGUUUUAAACUGCAGUUAGGCUUGUAAAUAUUUUUGUUACCAAGAAUCACUGGACUAUAGAAGGAUUGCAACUUCAUUAUACGUUUUUCACAUUGGUUUCUGUGAGAGCUCUGUGGCAGUGUUUCAGGCAUUAAGUAGAACAAGUCUUCGACAGAGAAGAGUAAAACCUCAUGCAAUAUCCCAUCCGUAUUGGGAAGAUUGUCUAAAAAUUGACUGCCUUUGACAACAGGAACAAUAGGUCUGUUAUUCAUGUUACAAAAAAAAAAAAAAAA
rnacentral:lncRNA from 1 species